rnacentral:rRNA from 1 species
GACGAACGCUGGCGGCGUGCUUAACACAUGCAAGUCGAACGGAAAGGCCUUUUCGGAGGUACUCGAGUGGCGAACGGGUGAGUAACACGUGGGUGAUCUGCCCUGCACUCUGGGAUAAGCCUGGGAAACUGGGUCUAAUACCGGAUAGGACCGCACUUUAGUGUGUGUGGUGGAAAGUUUUUUCGGUGUAGGAUGAGCCCGCGGCCUAUCAGCUUGUUGGUGGGGUAAUGGCCUACCAAGGCGGCGACGGGUAGCCGGACUGAGAGGUUGGUCGGCCACAUUGGGACUGAGAUACGGCCCAGACUCCUACGGGAGGCAGCAGUGGGGAAUAUUGCACAAUGGGGGCAAGCCUGAUGCAGCGACGCCGCGUGGGGGAUGACGGCCUUCGGGUUGUAAACUCCUUUCGCCAGGGACGAAGCGUUUUGUGACGGUACCUGGAGAAGAAGCACCGGCUAACUACGUG